rnacentral:rRNA from 1 species
UGAGGAAUAUUGCACAAUGGACGCAAGUCUGAUGCAGCAACGCCGCGUGGAGGAUGACGGUCUUUGGAUUGUAAACUCCUUUUCUCAGGGAAGAGAAUGGACGGUACCUGAGGAAUAAGUCACGGCUAACUACGUGCCAGCAGCCGCGGUAAUACGUAGGUGGCGAGCGUUAUCCGGAAUUACUGGGCGUAAAGCGCACGCAGGCGGUUAGGCAAGUUCGACGUGAAAGCUCCCGGCUUAACUGGGAGAGGUCGUUGAAAACUGCUUAGCUUGAGGCAAUGAGAGGGGUGUAGAAUUCCCGGUGUAGUGGUGGAAUGCGUAGAUAUCGGGGGGAAUACCAGUGGCGAAAGCGGCACCCUAGCGUUGUUCUGACGCUCAUGUGCGAAAGCGUGGGGAGCGAACGGGAUUAGAUACCCCGGUAGUCCACGCUGUAAACGAUGAACACUAGGUGUAGGUGAUGUGAAAGUUAUCUGUACCGAAGCCAACGCGUUAAGUGUUCCGCCG